CAGCCGCCACGGUAAUACGAAGGGGGCUAGCGUUGUUCGGAUUUACUGGGCGUAAAGGGCGCGUAGGCGGACUGAUAAGUCAGGGGUGAAAUCCCAAGGCUCAACCUUGGAACUGCCUUUGAUACUGUUUGUCUUGAGUUCGAGAGAGGUCAGUGGAAUUCCGAGUGUAGAGGUGAAAUUCGUAGAUAUUCGGAAGAACACCAGUGGCGAAGGCGACUGACUGGACAAGUAUUGACGCUGAGGUGCGAAAGCGUGGGGAGCAAACAGGAUUAGAUACCCCUGUAGUCCCUGUCUCUUAUAC
rnacentral:rRNA from 1 species